UUUUAUUUCUCUCACUCCCUUUCCUUCGUUUUUCUAAAUUGUUUGAAUAUUUAAUGUAUCUCUUGGUUCUUUUGGUGACAUCACUAUGCAUUUAUUAAUCUAUGCCCCUAAACUGCUUCCUUUUGUUCUCAGCCAGGGUCCAGUCAGGAAAUAGAAACCAUUCUAGUUAUCGAAUGGAGAGAGUUUAAUAUAAGGAAGUGUAACCUGGGUCACUGAAAGACUACAAAGGGGACUGUAAAAUAUCAUGAGAGGAGGAAACAUUUGUCACACUUAGGGCUGAAAGAAAAAAGAGAAGAGACUGUGAUUAUUAACAUUUAGAAGCUUAAAGGAGGAGUCCAUGGAGGUGAAAGUCAGACCUCCAAGGAGAAGGUGAUGUUUGAUUGGUGCUAAUGUCUCUUCAUUAGUAAAAGCCUGGGAUCCAGACUCUGAAGAGGAAAGCGCAUCCCACCUGGCAUGUAGUGGUGUCUCAGGAAGAGGAGAGGGAGUGCAGAGAGGCUGGUUCUAUGAAUUGGAAAAACUUCAAACUGGACUCCACUGCUGUUACCAGAAGGAACUUCCAGUGAGGAAGUGAGGAAAUAUGUCUGGGGUGACUCUUGUGAGAACCACUAACGGACAGGAAGCCCAUAGGAAGCAACAGAUAGUAGAUAGGAAGGAGCAAGUCCCUUCUUCCUUCUCUAGCCUUAGUGUUCCUCUAGUACUCCCUAAGAACAGACUUCAGGAGGUCCACUGACAAAGCAAAAAUGAUGUUUGUAGAGUCCCAGUCCAACAUCACAAAGUGGAGGAUAAAAGGGCAGACUUGGAGCUGAGAGCUGUUGCAGUAGAAUCCUCUCCAUGGCCCCACUUGCCACGGAGCAGAGUUCAGUACACGCAUCACCAAGCCCAGAAGUGCUCCCUCACUGCAUCUCACCUCCAGGAUGGACCCUCGGCAGGUGUAUUGUUCUCCACUGGAGCAACGUGUUCCCUUGCACUUGAGCUGAACAUGAGAACUUGUCAAAGGCCAUUCCUCAUCGUCCCAUUGUUGAUUUAUUUAACUCUGCAAAAUAGCUUAUACAGCCUCUUUCCCUUUGCCCGAGACACACAUUGCAUUUGAAUCCAAGGGCUUAGCGGAAGGCCUAUGAAACCCAUGUUGACCAUAAGAUGAGGGCUCAGAUGGGUAUGCACCAACUCCUAAAUCCUUAUUUUAAUGAGGCAAAACCUUAGACCCUUCCUGUUUUUCCUUUCAGAUCAUUAUUUAUCAGGACACUUUGGGUCCUGCAUCUUGUCCCCACUAUUUAAUUACCCUCUUGUCUCUAUUGUCACUGUAUCAUGCACCUAUUUCUGUUAUUGUCUUUGUGUGUAAAAAAUUACCCAUCCUUCAUUUUCCAAUGGACUGAACAUAGGAGAUUCACAGAUGAUCUCCUAUACCCAGAUCACCACUUGCUGUCUAUAUUUGGAGUGAGAGAAUGAAAGAAUGAAAGCCAUGUAUUUUGAGUGGGUAAUAAUUAAAUUGAGAAUGAUGCUGUCUACAUCUAUCCCUGGCAAGUAAGAAGGGAAACAUCCUGAGACACUUGUAUUUCUUUCUUUUUUUUUUCUUUAAAGAUUUUAUCCAUUUAUUUGGCAGAGAGAGAGAUCACAAGCAGGCAGAGAGGCAGGCAAAGAGAGAGGAAGGGAAGCAGGCUCCCCGCCGAGCAGAAAGCCUGAUGCAGGGCUCCUUCCUGGGAUCCUGGGACCAUGACCUGUGCUGAAGGCAGAGGCUUUUACCCACUGAGCCACCCAGGUGCCCCUGACACUUGUAUUUCUGAAAGGAAAACCUAAACACGUCUUCAUUGUACUUAAAGAGGGGAAGACUCUGGAGAUAUUGAUAUGAGGGUACUGGAGUAGGGUCCAGGGCUGGAGUGGAUUUCUGUCUGAGCUUUUAUGCGCCUGCAUAGUGUAUGUUUCAAAGCCAGGAUUUAUAGCUCACUUUCUCUCUACCUCCAGCCACCCCUUCCCUUUUCUUAACUUUUCCUUAUAGCUCUUACUGACAGAUCACAAAGUACUGUAACUGUUCUCAGUUCAAACCAGCAGUCCUGUUGUCAGACCAAGUAUCCAAUUGUAGGCUUCAGGAAACAUCUCUACCUCUCUUGCUUUUCUGUAAAUGUGUGAGUUUAGGUUGGGUGGGCUAUAUACUUAAAGGGGAAAAUAACUUUUAAAAUGUAUCAGGGUAUGUUUGUCAAAUAGGAAAGUGAACAACCGCUUUUGACAGUGGCUAGGGAGAAACUGGAUUUCCCUAAUCACCCCCAAAGUCAUCCCUUGUAUCACUCUAAUGCCACCUUUCUUGAGCACCCUGGAAUCCUCUGGUUACCAAUGAAUGGGCAUUUAAAGACUUUCUAGAAGUGCUCAUCCUUUAUUGUGUUCUAUUAAAGCCUCAGGCAUACACCCUGGCUCCCUCUCUGACCUCUCUCUCUCUUUUUUUCUUUCUUUCUUCUUCUUCUUCUUUUUUUUUUUUUUUUUUUUUUGCUACAGAGCCGGGGAGCAAGGCUGGCACCACAUGGGGAGUUUCCAUGUGCGGAUGUCCACAUCCUUCAUUCACAUCCUUCAAGGGUUUCUUUUAACAUUUUCUGAUUGUGUUUCUGAGUACAGGGUGUCAACAGCUCUCAGAACUGUUAAGUUUUCUAUUUAUCCUCAGGCCAGGAAAAGGCACAGAUCACUGCAGUGUAAAAUUACCAGUGGUUUUGACAGUGACCUGGAAGAACUGUGGAAUGAAGAAAUUUAGCCUUGAGAGCUGAGGUCCAGCCCCAGGCCCAUCUUAACCAAGAAGUUCUGCUCAAUUAUACAGGUCAUGAGAAGUUCUGCUAGUCCUGAAAAUAUUGAACUCAUCAAACUUAAGUUGGGUGUUGUUGACAUGUCUUGAUGAAUGGCCAGUUGUGGCCACCAAGUACCGUAUUUACUUGUUUGUUUUCUCCUCCAUUCCACUCCUACACAAUCUUAAUUUCAAAAAGUCAUUCUAUGAGGUUGGAAAUUUUCAUUUUAUUUGUUCAGUAGGAGCUUUCCAAAUCAGCACAAACUUUUCUGAAGGCUUAAAAAGAUUAGUUGGAAUGAUGAAAGAUGGCCAUAUUUGCUGAAAAUAAAAGGAAAGGGACUUACUGCUUUGGAAUUGCUCUUGCCAAACCUUUAGAGACAAAAUGUCAUAAUCAUUAAGAAUUCAGGCCUUAGAGCUGGACCACCUAGCUUGAAGUCAGCUCUGCCACUUCCUAGCUGUGAAUCAGUGGGAAAGUUACCCUAUUUGCCUCAGUUUCAUCAUGGGAUGGCAGUUUUUAUAGGCAUUUUUGCCUACUUUCUAGGACUGUUGUGAGUUAAAAGGUAUGAAGCACUCAGAACAGGGCUUGGCACAUGGAAAGUUCUCAAUGAAUGCUAGCUACUAUUUUAAUAAGAUGGUAACUUAGAAUUGUUGCAGAUGUAUUGUGAAUAUGGAAUCACAAAGUUCACUCUAGGUGUAUAGAAAUAUAUACUGAGAGAAGGGGAUUGUGCCAAUAAACAUGAUAUAGCUCAAGAUAGAUGUAUCUAUGUUAGGAGAUAAUUAUUACAUGUUUCCUCAGUCUAUUAAGCCACCCCUUCAUUAGAUCCCCUUUUAAAACAGUCCUGAGCCUUUUACAUCAAGUUCUUAGUGUUUACAAAUCUUGGUGAGUAGUUACUUCUUGAAGGUAGUCUAUUAAUCUAUUACCUUGUUUUUGGGGGCAUUUUAUCUUCUUGAGAUGUAACCUAGGCACUGGUCACUUGUUUCCCUAACUAAAAGAGACACACAUGAAGGGCUCCAGAGCUCACUAAUCUUCCUUAAGAGGAUAGGAGUUCCAGAUACCAAAGGGUCUUCAAAAUCCUUCUCACAAAAUUCUUCCUUAAUUCAAGGCACUUUUAUAUCUUCAAUGGGAAUGACAGAUUUAAAGGAUUAUGCAAUUGGUUCUUCUGUAUUUCUCCUUUUGGAAAUUCUGCAUAUGGUCUUGCGCUGUCUUUGGAAUGCAGUAUCAAUUGUGUCUUGGUGCAUCCAUCAAAACUUCCAAUUUAACUUUCUGUUACAUUUAUAAACCCAUCCUUGGGUUUGUACCUCAUCAUGGUACACUGGAUACAGAAUAUUUACAACUCCCCGAACCUCCAUGUUGAACCAGUAGAGUUAGGGAUAAGUGAGGAAGGAAAUUAACAUCGACUGAGUUCAAGUAAUUUGCUCAAGAGUCACAUAACUAAAGAAUGGCAGAGCCAGAUUUCCCCUCCAGAUCUGUGUGACCUAAAAUCCAGGUUCAUUUGCUGCAUGAUGAGGUAUUUAUGCAAAAUCUAUCAAAGGAAAUGCUUCAUUACAUCUUUUUUUCCUUGAGCUCUUGUGUUUAUGUUCAUCAUUCUUUUAAAAUGCAGUCAAAUAGUUUCGGUUUUUUUUUGGUAAAUGUAAGAAGAUGUCAAAAAUUUAGGCAUUUUCUUUCCAUCUGAUCCAGUCUCUUUCUUCUACCUCAUGAAUAAGGAGUAGAUAACUUCCACUUCACAGCCUUUGAGGGCUUUUUUUUUUUUUUUUUAAGAAAAACUAUAAAAUUAGUGAUUCUGGCAUUUUCCCCAAAGGAUGUGUUUGUUUACUUGGUUAUUAAUAUUUGAACUCCACACUCUAAAUUCAGUUUGCCAGAGAAGAGAAAAUCACGUUUAUGUGCAUUCUUGAUUUAUUUCUUCCCUAGUAUCCAUGUGAGUUUCAGAAGCCAAAACAUAGCUUCUGCUUCCUAACCUUUUCUAAAUAGAUCUUUCCAUCAAAAUGCUUUAAAACUAUUUUUUGUCCAUAUUUAGACAUAUACUUAGGAUACUUUAGAGUACCAAGGAAAGAGAGAUGCUCCUGAGAAACAAUGGGGGAAAAAAACAGGUUACCUUUCAGGAAUGAAAAGUAGAAUGGUUUUUGACUUCUCACUAGCAACACUGGAUGCUGGAAGACAAUGGAACAAUAUCUUCGAAGUUCUGAGGGAAAAUAAUUUUGAUCAUUGAGUUCUAUACCCAGCCAAACCACCAGGUAAGUAGAGAAGAGAAGAACAUAUCUAGCAUGUAAGUACAGUAUGACAGUAGGUGAUGACUAGUUUAGAAUGAUAGUAGUAACCAAACUAUCAUAGUUUAUACUUAAGAAGGUAAUUGAAAAGGAACUCCAGCAAAAUGGAAAACAUCAUGAAGGAGGAAGACUCCUGGGUGAGACCUAGGAAAUAAUAGCUCUCACCUGGAGGGGCAGGGUGGGAAGCCAGCAGGUGAGUGGGCAGUGGCUUAGGAGCAAGCUGUCCAGAUGGGAGCAGAAAUUCAAACACAGCUGGGUGGGUGUCUCAGGAAAGAAAGAGAUUGGUCCACAAGUGAAAAUACUUAUAUAUAAUUAUGAUCACAUAAAUCCUGCAUUAUAGAUUAGAGGCUAUUGUCUGUUAGAGUCAGCCCCUAGAUGAACCUACUUCAGGCCUUAAGGAGCAGAGAGGAGCAGAAAUGUUAUCAGUUUUGACAAUUGAAAUGUGUAAGUAGAGUUAACAACAGAUGCAUGGAUGUGGAGUGGGAGGGCAUGUGGAGGAAGAGGGAAGGACAGAGCCAACAAUAUCUUUAUCAAACACAUAUGAAGUUGCUGAAAUGAUAAAUAGACAUUGGGUAUAUUAUUUAACACUACAAAUAUAACCAAUACAAGAACGUUAAAGCUGUAAGUAUUAAUAGUUGGAAAGAGAGAGGCAUAUAGAGUGAGAGGGGAAAAUGUAAAGGAGCCAUAUAAUAGCAGGGAGUAAACAGUUAUUGUUUAAAAGGGGGGAUCUGUUUCUCCCUCUCCCACUAUCCCUCCCUCUGCUCAUGCUCUCCCUCGUGCUCUCUCUCAAUUAUAUAAAUAAAAUUUUAAAAGAAAGAAAAAUAGAGAUAUAACCCUAUUGGAAUUAAAAAGAUAAGCACUGGAAUAUUAUAAACAGAUAAAGAAAUAAACAUACAUUAUUAAAAUUGAUUAUGUGUAGGAGAGGAGUUAGGCAUUGAGAAUGAAAAAGGUAAGAUGGUGGCCUUUUACUAUAAGCCCUUAUGACAUCAUUUGUUUUUUCAUGUACAUGUAGUAUAUGGACUAUAUAUAUUUUAAAUAGCUCUUGUGAAACCAUGUCGAUUGACUCUUUGAACAUUCCAGUCUGUCCUGGAGACAGUGGUGGGAUGGAUUGUAAUCAAAGAUAACUGGUUUGGCCCCCGGAGUACGCAGAUGGGAAGAAAGGUGGGUUCGGGAGUGUGGCCAUCAGAAAGACCUUCUCAGCCAGGGAUCAGAAUGGACUGUGUUUCCUGGGAAGGCGUUCUACGGAUUAAUGAUAUACCAAUGAACUUCUCUACCAAUUCAAUCAAAUAAGCACAGAAGUCCAAAGAGGCAGGCUCUGGAGCAGCAGGUGAUUAAGAUGGGGAGUGACUGGAAUAAACCAGGGACAAAUUAGAAAAUGGCCUGACACCAUCAUUGUGACGAGCAGGAGAUGGAAGCCAAAAAUAUUUACGAGUCAGUUAGCUCACCUUUAAAUGCUACUGAAUAUGGGCCAGGCUAGACAGGAACUAUGCAGGUUGAUCUUCUUAAUUUGAAUCUAGGCAAUGGGGAAUGGAAACUCAUGUUUCUCUGUCCAGCUAUAUAAGCUUUUGGUUCUUACGCACAAUUUCCAUUUUGCCUUCUUGCUCUGCGUACCACUGAUUUUACCAAUUGCUCUUAUAAUUGACUUUUGCUCCUGGAAGAAACUCCUAGAAUGUUGGAAUUUCUCUAUUACAUGUUUUACCCCAAAGAAUGUGUCAAUCAGUGCUAAAGCAAUAGUCUUGGGGCAGACAGCCAACUUGCAUCUGAUGACAACAUUGCAGUAGAGGUCGCAAUAUGCUGACUUCAGAAUGAGCACAAGACUCCGACUGAGAUCCUGGAAGAACAGCCUGGAGCAGAUGGGAUGGGCAAGCAGGGUAUUUGCCUCACAGCUCAGAGAAGACUAGUGGCUGCAAAAUACUAACCCUUUGUUCUUUCCUGUUGCUCAUAAGUGGGUGAAAUGUUGCUCAUAACUGGAUUUCUAAGUUCGAAAGCCUAAAGCAAGCUUUGGCCCAAAGACUUCCAUGGACAUUUGUGUUAACUUUGUGAACGUGGAAGUAACAAUAAGAAUUAUAGGAAUUCAGGGGUUUUAGCAGCUGUCUAUUUUUUUUUUUUUAACAGGCUGCAUUUGCAAGAGUUUAACAUUUAGGGGUGGCUAGGACACCCAGACAGCCUCAGAUGCUUUCUGUUAUGUUGAGAUUGACAGCUUUCCAAUGAGCUCAGAGUUUCUGAAUUCCUAGAAGCCAUUCUGAGACCUUCCUUAAAAGAACACUUGGCCCCUGGUACACAUAUUUACUAUACCUCUCCAUCAUUGGCAAGGUUGGCUCCAACCCUGCAUCAGGAAAUGGGAUUCUGGGGCACAGAGGUAAUACAAAAAGGCAUCAGUGGAUGCCAAAGUCACCUAUUCAGACAAAUCAAACAGGAAGUCAGUUCUAUGGUCUAUUUAGUUUAGUAAUAAAAGGAACACUAUCUCUCCAAUCCAUCAAGUUCCCGGUUCUCAGACAACUUCCAUCAAAUCCUUGGCGGUACAGACCCAAGACUAAGAAGUUGCAAUUCUCUAGCAGGGGCAAAAGGUGACUGAGAAAGAGUCUUGUCUGUCACCACCCCUUGGGCAAUCGGGGGAUUCCUCAUUUUAAGAGCCUAGGAGACCAUUUCAAUAUGUGUCAGCAUUUUCCUUAAUACUUCUCAGUUUUCUUUCUCUCUGAUGGAGUGGAGGUUGAAGAGAAUGUUAGGAUUCACUACCAAGAAUCGCUGUGGCCCAUUUCUUGUGUUACCGUGGUGGGUAGCUCAUCUGUAGAAAUCCUUCCAUGCCCUUCGGUAGACUUGGCAUCAGGCAAGAUGGAGGUUUUCAAGCUCUCCCGAGGCAGAGACUGAGGCUGUCACUGGGGAAGCUGCACCUGGACCGGACCCAUUUGUUCUGAUGGCACCGGGUCCUGCACUAUCUGUGCAGCCCUAAAAAUAGCUCGCAAUUAACAUUGCAUUUCAAGAAUUGGAAAAUUUCCCAGAAGUCCAUUCUUUUUUCCUUUUCUAUUUCAUUACAUUUUGCAGUAAUAAUACACAAGCCUGCAGAAAACAUGACGGGUAAUGAAAAAAUGUAAUUAAUAUAAGCAGUGUAAAGCAUGUUUUUUUUUCUCUGUUGUCCUUGCAGAAAAUUGCUGCUUUAAACCAAGCAGGAUGUGAAAAUGCAUAAAACCCCCCUUUAAUCUGCUGUGGUUUGUAAAUAUCUUAUGCAAAAGAGUUUAAGUCAACUGUCAGAUUCUUUUUUUUUUUUUUUCUUAACAUUAUCACGUAUUCUUGUAAAAAAAAUUUUUUUCCUGCAGGAUAAAUUGAGUGAUUGGGAUAACUAGUUUUGAUGGGCAAGGAAUGGAGGUGACAGCGAGUAUCUCAAUGACACACCCCAAAACAGGAAAAGCCUGCUUUUUAGACUCUCUGUCCUUUGUAUUCCUCUGAACAGCGUUAAAUGUUCUGCUUGCUGGACGCCCGAUUUUGGCACAGUACUUGGGAAAAGGAAAUUAUUGCUACUAUUACACACCAACAUACCCUGUCCCGUUAAUCGAAAUAAAGUGAUAAAGAGGCCAAGAAGCUGUGGUAUAUGCCCGUGGUCCUCAGACCAUUUUAGCUCACUUAUCUGUACCAUGAGCAAUACGGAGAUGUGUGGGACUAGAAGGUCACAGAGGAAUUUUAAAGCUGAAAUACAAAACAUUAUUCCCCAAAACAUCUUCCAAGGCCAGACGGCGAAAAUGCUUACGGUUUGUUUUCAUUUGUUCUUUCCUUUUUUUUUUUUUUUUUUAAACUGCAGCUGACAUCCAUUAUUGGUUAUUGUUUAUUUCUAUCUUGAUCCAGGUUCUAAGAGUUUCCCCAUGGCCCCGGUGUGGGCGAGCUUUGACAUCGCACUUGGGAACCACGGGACGAGUCCCCUCUGCUGCGUGGGGAUCCCCGGCAAGGGGCGGUUCCCCCAGCUGAGAAGCGGUGUCUCUCUCCUGUGGAGUUCUGGGCAGCCAUUUGGUGUCCCAGAUGUAGGAAAUGAAAUAACCCACGCUCAUCCAGUCACAGAAGGCCCAUCUGGCACCCAGGAACUUUGCACCAUAGAGGCACACAGGCGUGAGCUCACUUUUGUUAUGGCAUUUCAUCAACAGAGCUGCAGCGAGCCAGAAAAGAAGGACUUUGGGAUGAUAACAAUCAUUUUCCACUCCCUCCCUUUCUGCCUGUUCCUCUCAAAACACACACAUGCACACAUGCACACACACAUGGCCUUAACCUUUUUAAAACAUAGGGGCCAGGUAGAAAAAAAAUAGAGGGGAGAUUCAUCCUUCAAAAGGUAGCUUUUUUUGUUUUUUCCCCCAAGAGGGUCUGAAGGAGAAAUUUCCAUUAACAGCUAAAUCCCUCCCCACCGCCUCUCUGUCCACAUUAUUGUUUUUCUGCCCUUCCAUUCUAGGACUCGCAGGUGUCGGCAUAAAAUGCGACCAGUCAAGUCUUGGCUAACUCACUUCUUGUACAUCACCCUAAAAAUAAGGAAAAGCAGCAGCGGGAGGGAUUUCAUAAAUCACACACUACCGUACUCGCUUUCUAGUCCUGAAACCAAAGUCACAGGAGAGUCUAAUAAAUGACCUCAACGUU